rnacentral:lncRNA from 1 species
AAGGGAAAAUAUGUAAACUUGCACCAUGUUAAAACAAAGACCGCAGUAUUGAAUCAUGCCAGCGAACUAACAAAUUUGAAAGCAUCAAAAUCUUACAAUCCAUCUAAGAAUGCAUACUCACCUACUUAUGGCACAAAGGGAAAGUAUGUAAACUUGCACCAUGUUAAAACAAAGACCGCAGUAUUGAAUCAUGCCAGCGAACUGACAAAUUUGAAAGCAUCAAAAUCGUAUGCACCAUCAAAAAAGGCAUAUCCACCAACAUAUUAUGCCCCAAAAUCGUAUGAACCCCAAUACAACGCUAAAUACCAAUCAAACAAAUACAAUUGAUAAUAACAGCGCUGUACAAUUGUUCUUGUGUACAAGACAGGUUCAAAUGUAAUUUAUAAAGAAAAAAUAAUCUGGUUUAAGUCAGGAUUUGUAAAUUAAAAUAAUAACUCAUGUUUUCUGUGUAUUAAAUGUGUUACACAUACUUUGUUUGAAAUAAAG